rnacentral:lncRNA from 1 species
CUAGAAGACAGUAUGGAGGAGUGAAAGAGUGGAGGUGUUGAUUCUAGUAGACAGUAUGGAGGAGUGGAGGUGUUGAUUCUAGAAGACAGUAUGGAGGAGUGCAGGUGUUGAUUCUAGAAGACAGUUAGGAGGAGUGGAGGUGUUGAUUCUAGAAGACAGUAUGGAGGAGUGGAGGUGUUGAUUCUAGAAGACAGUAUGGAGGAGUGGAGGUGUUGAUUCUAGUAGACAGUAUGGAGGAGUGGAGGUGUUGAUUCUAGAAGACAGUAUAGAGGAGUGGAGGUGUUGAUUCUAGAAGACAGUAUGGAGGAGUGAAAGAGUGCAGGUGUUGAUUCUAGUAGACAGUAUAGAGGAGUGGAGGUGUUGAUUCUAGAAGACAGUUUGGAGGAUUGGAGGUGUAGAUUCUAGUAGACAGUAUGGAGGAGUGGAGGUGUUGAUUCUAGAAGACAGUAUGGAGGAGUGCAGGUGUUGAUUCUAGAAGACAGUUAGGAGGAGUGGAGGUGUUGAUUCUAGAAGACAGUAUGGAGGAGUGGAUGUGUUGAUUCUAGUAGACAGUAUGGAGGAGUGGAGGUGUUGAUUCUAAUAGACAGUACGGAGUAGUGGGAGAGUGGAGGUGUUGAUUCUAGAAGACAGUAUGGAGGAGUGGAGGUGUUGAUUCUAGAAGACAGUUUGGAGGAGUGAAAGAGAGGAGGUGUUGAUUCUAGUAGACAGUAUAGAGGAGUGGAGGUGUUGAUUCUAGAAGACAGUAUUGAGGAGUGGAGGUGUUGAUUCUAGAAGACAGUAUAGAGGAGUGGAGGUGUUGAUUCUAGUAGAC